CUACGGGAGGCACCAGUGGGGAAUAUUGCACAAUGGGCGCAAGCCUGAUGCAGCCAUGCCGCGUGUAUGAAGAAGGCCUUCGGGUUGUAAAGUACUUUCAGCGGGGAGGAAGGGAGUAAAGUUAAUACCUUUGCUCAUUGACGUUACCCGCAGAAGAAGCACCGGCUAACUCCGUGCCAGCAGCCACGGUAAUACGGAGGGUGCAAGCGUUAAUCGGAAUUACUGGGCGUAAAGCGCACGCGGCGGUUUGUUAAGUCAGAUGUGAAAUCCCCGGGCUCAACCUGGGAACUGCAUCUGAUACUGGCAAGCUUGAGUCUCGUAGAGGGGGGUAGAAUUCCAGGUGUAGCGGUGAAAUGCGUAGAGAUCUGGAGGAAUACCGGUGGCGAAGGCGGCCCCCUGGACGAAGACUGACGCUCAGGUGCGAAAGCGUGGGGAGCAAACAGGAUUAGAUACCCUAGUAGUC
rnacentral:rRNA from 1 species